GAUGAACGCUAGCGGCAGGCCUAACACAUGCAAGUCGAGGGGUAACUAGAGUGAUAGCAAUAUUACUUUGGCUUGACCGGCGCACGGGUGCGUAACACGUAUGCAACCUACCUUAUACUGGGGAAUAACUUCGAGAAAUCGGCGCUAAUACCCCAUAACAUUGCGAAGAGGCAUCUCUUUGCAAUUAAAGCUCCGGCGGUAUAAGAUGGGCAUGCGUCCAAUUAGCUAGUUGGUGAGGUAACGGCUCACCAAGGCUACGAUUGGUAGGGGUUCUGAGAGGAUGAUCCCCCACACUGGUACUGAGACACGGACCAGACUCCUACGGGAGGCAGCAGUGAGGAAUAUUGCGAAAUGGACGAAAGUCUGACGCAGCCAUGCCGCGUGCAGGAUGACGGCCCUAUGGGUUGUAAACUGCUUUUGUACGGGAAUAAACCCUUCUACGUGUAGGAGGCCGAAGGUACCGUAAGAAUAAGCACCGGCUAACUCCGUGCCAGCCGCCGCCGUAAAAC
rnacentral:rRNA from 1 species